AUUGAACGCUGGCGGCAUGCUUUACACAUGCAAGUCGAACGGUAACAGGCCGCAAGGUGCUGACGAGUGGCGAACGGGUGAGUAAUGCAUCGGAACGUGCCCAGUCGUGGGGGAUAACGCAGCGAAAGCUGCGCUAAUACCGCAUACGAUCUAUGGAUGAAAGCGGGGGACCGUAAGGCCUCGCGCGAUUGGAGCGGCCGAUGUCAGAUUAGGUAGUUGGUGGGGUAAAGGCUCACCAAGCCAACGAUCUGUAGCUGGUCUGAGAGGACGAACAGCCACACUGGGAAUGAGACACGGCCCAGAAUCCUACGGGAGGCAGCAGUGGGGAAUUUUGGACAAUGGGCGCAAGCCUGAUCCAGCAAUGCCGCGUGCAGGAAGAAGGCCUUCGGGUCGUAAACUGCUUUUGUACGGAACGAAACGGUCCUGGUUAAUACCCACCGGGGAUGAGAGUACCUGAAGAAUAAGGACCGGCUAACUACGUGCCAGCAGCCGCAGUAAGAC
rnacentral:rRNA from 1 species